UCGAGAAUUUUUGGCAAUGGGGGAAACCCUGACCAAGCGAUGCCGCGUGCGGGAUGAAGGUCUUCGGAUUGUAAACCGCUGUCAGUGGGGAGAAAAGGAUAGUGAGUUCUCUCAUUAUUUUGAUCUAUCCGCAGAGGAAGUGUGGGCUAAGCUCGUGCCAGCAGCCGCGGUAAGACGAGCCACACAAACGUUAUUCGGAAUUACUGGGCUUAAAGGGUGCGUAGGCUGCGCGGAAAGUUGGGUGUGAAAUACCUCGGCUCAACCGAGGAACUGCGCCCAAAACUACCGUGCUCGAGGAAGAUAGAGGUGAGCGGAACUUACGGUGGAGCGGUGAAAUGCGUUGAUAUCGUAAGGAACACCCGUGGCGAAAGCGGCUCACUGGGUCUUUUCUGACGCUGAU
rnacentral:rRNA from 1 species